UGAGGUUAAGGGCAGAGACAGGUAAAGAUGAAAAGCUAAAA
rnacentral:sRNA from 1 species